AACGACGUCGUAAAUAGGAGUCUUCCGCGUUCAGCUGCAGCAAGUAAAAACCCUCAAACGAUCAAAUUCACAAUUUCAAUUUCAAUUUCAAUUUCAAUUUGGUUUAAACCUCCUUCGAUUCAUAGUCUCCUCCUUAUGGCUGGGAGAAACCGGAUGCCCCACCACCCUGAUAGUUUCCGAGGUGCCCAUGAAGAUCCACAUUCACUUCCACACGGGAUGCCAAUGCCACUUCCUCCACAUCCUGCGGUACUGGAAGAGGAACUUGAGUUCCAACACAGAGACAUUCAGAGGCUCCUUACUGAGAAUAGACAUGUCAUUGAUGACAAUGUGAUGCUUCAGAGGGAUUUGACUUCUGUGAAAGAUGAAAUUCACCGAUUGAAUCAGGUUAUCCCGAAAAUGCAUGCUGAUAAAGAGGCCAGAAGAAGGGAACUGAUCGAGAGGGCAAUGAAACUAGAGGCUGAACUUCGCUCUGCUGAACCUCUGAGAGUAGAGAUUGUGCAAUUAAGGGCGGACACACAGAAAUUGAGUGCACAGAAUAAGGAAUUAUCUUCCCAUGCUCAAAAUAUGACAAAGGAUAUUAAUAGGCUACAAUCUGAGAAUAAGCAAGUAGCUCCCAUGAAGUCUGACAUUGAUAAGAUGCGCAAAGAGCUGGUUGAUGCGAGGAGGGUAUAUGAAUAUGAGAAGAAAGGAAAUGAAGAGUUGGCAGAACAAAAUAGAGCCAUGGAGAAAAACCUUAUUGCAAUGGCUCGAGAAAUUGAAAAGCUGCGUGCUGAACAAGCAAGUGCUGACAGGAGGGAUGCUGGAGGAUAUGGACUGCUGAAUGGGAGCCCUGAAACAAGAUACCCAGGCCCAUAUGGGGAUGUAUAUGGCCCUGGCCCCUGGGGAUCAUACGACAAACGCGGUGGUCUUCCACGACGUUAAUCCUUGUUCAGGGUCUGAAUUAUGAGUGCCUCAGUUGCGUUACAACAGCUGCCGUCGAAAUCAAACUUAAUCUUCCAAAACGACGCCGUCGUCCGCUGUGGAAAUGCUGAGAUCAUCCACCUUACUGAAUUCCCCAACUAGAAAUCCAUUCCAAUCAACAAUUUCCACGCCGCAAAGAAACCCUAUUUUCCAGUCUGGCAUGUCCUUCUCGCCGGAAACGUCAUCCGCAAAGAAAUGCACUUGAUUCGUUUAUCUCUGGCGCUUGGCCGCGAGAUAAACCAGCGAGGCCUCUUCCGCGGAGCUGAAAUUGCCCAGCCAAAUUCGUCUCUUCUGAUGUGGAUCCCAAAUUUCAGUUGAGUACCUCCCCGAUUUCCUCUUGUGAGCGCCGACCAAAUUCCUCUUCGCGAUCAGAUUCUUGAAAUCAUCGCCGCCGCAGGAUUGGGACGCGAAAGAGGGCAAACGCGAGAGAGAAAGAAGAAGCGACGACAGAGCAGGCGAAACUCAGCGAUUUCUUGGCGAUUUCUCGUCAUAUUCCGAUAAGAUGGAAAUGGUAAGUUCUAGCGGACAUUUAUUAUACGGACCUGAAGAUCCGUCAGUGCUAUAUCUUCAGAAAAAACAUAUUUCAAAUAAAUUACUGAAAGAUGGCACAACACAAGUUUUCAAAGUUCGCCAGACGGAAAGUAAGACGUAGGAUGUGGACAUUCAUGAGAAUGUGAGGUAUUGGCUUGACGCCUUUGGUUUCAAAGACGUGAUGGAUUGUGGGAAGUCGAUGAAGGUCGACAGUGAGCUGAUCACGGCUUUGAUUGUGCGUUGGAGGCCGGAGACGCACACUUUCCAUCUACCGAUCGGAGAUGCGACAAUUAGCAUCAGUCGAUUCAUUCUUCCAAAAUUAUCAGUUUGUGCCUCCUGUACAAAUUGAAGAAGAAGAUGAUGAUGAAGGAGAAGAAGAAAAUGAUGAAAGAGAAGAGGAAAAUGAGGAAGAAGAGGUUGUUCAGAACAUCCAUGUCCAACCUCGACCAGUUGUGGAGGGUUCAUCACGCGGCGGGGUUGGGAAGAUCAUGAGCAAAGUGUACAAGAGAUUGUCAACCAGGAAGAAUAAGGGGAUUAAACCAUCGAAAUACACUCCAUCGUCCUAUAAGUAGCACAUUUUUCAGGGUUUAGUGAUGUUUUGAUACUUAAUUGACAGGUUUAUGGUGACUUAUUUUAAGAUGAAUUCAUGCAAAAAAAUUUCUUGU